AGACACUGUCUCAGGAUAAUAUUAACCCCAACAAAUUAUGCAGUUAUUUCGUGACAUUUAUGUGACACUACACGCUGCAAGAUCCAAAAUAACGCGCCCUAACGACACACCCGAGCUAUCCGACUCGUACAAGAUGGGAGACGACAAUCACAUCGGUAUAUCGGAUUGCCAUCCUGCCUCCUGAGCUGGCAGCGUGGUACGCAAACUUCCGCGUUCAACAUCGUGCUCGACCAUCUACAGUGAAUGCCGGGUUAUCCGAAUCUCUUGGAGGUUGUAGCUGAGGGGCAACCUCCUUGUGAAGUUGAAUUUCCACCGCAAGAGAUGGGGACGAACGGAUAAUUUUCUAGGCACACAGUCAUCAUUGCGCCGUUCAACACUGAAUGCAUGGAUCGUCUAACCGUACCUCGAAUUUCCAGUUGCUAAAACUCAGCUUUCGAACGAGAGCCACUUGACAUCUACCAGAAGCAAAAAGUUCAUCAAAUCAUAUCAUCUUGAGAGACCCAUUUUCUGCUCUUAGAACCAACCCCACCAUCCUAGUUUUGGAUCAGGAGGAGUUAUAUCGGUUGGCGGAAUAAUUGUAUCUCUGCGGAGUAUUUCCCCGUAAAUGGGUUAUUAAUCUAAACCAAACAAGCCCAAACAUCGGUGCAUAGCCCCCGCAGCCAACUAUUCUCAAGCCCGGAAGCCAAUUGAUAAUUCUACUCUUCCAUAUGAACCUUUAUACACAUUCCCGAUCAAUCCUAGAACUAUCAGAUAGCCAGCCUAGCACAAAGGCGAGUGAAGGCGAUUACCUCAAUGCUGGUGCGGGGAGCUAGUCCGUAAUAGGAAGACCAAAACUCCCAUCUUUCCAGGCCAUGAAAUCUAGAGCCAACCAUGGUCUUUAUUUCUUGCUUUGAAAUUGACGGUCGACAGCUAUUAAUGUCUUCAAGGGACUGCUCUCUUCGUUGAUAUGACGAUAUCAGAAUGGUUGGUCCGCGCUAACCGGGACUCUGGACUGCCACCCAUUCCCCUUUAUGUGUGUCCUCAACCUCUGACAAACACCUUGUUUUCUUUGAUCUAUAUCCAUAUAUACCAGUUAUAUAUGUAAAUGAAAAAAUUUUUCCUAUAAAACCUACUCGCACACUGUCGAUCUAUACGUUCUACGCUUCCCUGAAGCUCUUCUUCCUAUUUGGUCCACCCUUUAACCCUCUUGUCCCACCCAACCCAAAACUAGCCCACUCUUUCCCUUGGUACCCCGAUUUCGAAGUCCCAUCUAUCUGUAUCGCAUGAAACGAACAAUAUAUUUAUUCCAUUUCGCUUUUACACAGGCUACAGCAGCAUAUACCCCGUAAGGUAUCAGUUAUCGAAUGAACAACGUAAGUUGUUGGCGUCCUCCCAUAUUCUCUAUCUCUUCCACGCAUUGGCUGUACUGCACGCCUCCCCCUCUUUUUAGCCUAAUGAGCAUUUGAGAAAGGUUGUACUUACCACCGCCGGAAACCGGGGGGGGGAUCAAAAACAAUAAAAAGAAAAGAAAAGAUAGGGGGCGAAACUCUUCCUUCCCCUCGUCCCGCUACCACGGCCUCGCCUCGUAUACAAAUAGGAAGGGUGUAAGUUGGGCAAGAUGUUACACCACUCCAAACAAAAACACAAAUAAAUAAAUAAAUGAAGCCCCUUUAUUCAAUAACAUCAGGAACAAGUUUUUGUUCCUGGGCCUGAUUUCAGGUAUAUAUAUUUACAUAUAUAUACAUAUACAUGUAUACAUGUACAGUGCAUGCACAAUCCGUAGCCACCUUUGCAUAUAACAUACUUUUUCAUUGAUCAAAGGGGUAAACAACCAAAACUCAAACCUUAAAAAGAAGCUUUGGAAGCUGGAACUUACGUGAUCAACCAACUCCAGUAACAAGUUGCAAAAAU
rnacentral:sRNA from 1 species